rnacentral:rRNA from 1 species
UACAGGGGGUGCAAACGUUGCUCGGAAUCAUUGGGCGUAAAGCGCACGUAGGCGGUUCGUUAUGUCGGAUGUGAAAGCCCUUGGCUUAACCGAGGAAGUGCAUUCGAAACUGGCGAGCUAGAGUACGAAAGAGGAUCGCGGAAUUCCCGGUGUAGAGGUGAAAUUCGUAGAUAUCGGGAGGAACAUCAGUGGCGAAGGCGGCUCACUGGCUCGUAACUGACGCUCAUGCACGACAGCGUGGGGAUCAAACAGG